UACGAAGGGGGCUAGCGUUGCUCGGAAUCACUGGGCGUAAAGCGCACGUAGGCGGACUCUUAAGUCAGGGGUGAAAUCCUGGAGCUCAACUCCAGAACUGCCCUUGAUACUGGGAGCCUUGAGUUCGGGAGAGGUGAGUGGAACUGCGAGUGUAGAGGUGAAAUUCGUAGAUAUUCGCAAGAACACCAGUGGCGAAGGCGGCUCACUGGCCCGAUACUGACGCUGAGGCACGAAAGCGUGGGUAGCAAACAGG
rnacentral:rRNA from 1 species